ACGGGCUGGUGAAAGUGGAGAUGGACGGCAGGAUGGAUUCACUUGGCCACAUGGCGCGAAGCUGGGAAGACGGACACCGGCUGGGAAAGGGUUUCUUCUGUCCAUAAAAGCUACUCCAAUGGCUGUGGGAGACUUAAUUCCAAUUCCAGGUGAUACAGCCGUCAAUCUCCCACUAGCUGUAGGAUGGUGUGUGUGCUGCAGUUCACAGACCUAAGUCAGUGUUAGUCUACCACUGUACAUCUGGUAACCUCAAUCCCUGCAACCGGGGCAAAAUGGGUUUCCAGGUCUUGGCAACCUUUGAAAUUCCAAUUCCAUUUGAGAGAGCUUUGACGAGGCCAUAUGCUGAUUUCACCACCAGCAACUUCAGAACCCAGUACUGGAAUGCCAUCAGCCAGCAGGCCCCUGCCAUCAUCUAUGACUUCUAUCUGUGGCUCACUGGAAGGAAACCCAGUUUUUCUCAAAAUCUGAGGAGCUGCUACGGAAAGCACACCAGAUCUCAUGUGUUGAAACGUGAACAUGCUCACCACAGACCAAGGACGUUCAACCUGUCAAUCCCCAGGAUUUCCAAGCCAGGGGUUUCAUCUCUUACUUGUGGAAAAUUUGUUCAUUUGAUUAUGAACCAAUCAGCUUUUCAUUGUGUCAAAAUCAAAUCUAGAUAGUGAAACUGAUAUUUUAUCUUUAUUGUUAUCUUAAAUAUAUCUUGGCUUAAAGAGACAUAAGUGGCUCUUCCCCACUAUACCAGAUAACAAGUUGCAAAUAAAUCAUUCAGUAGUAAAGUUCAAAGAAA
ensembl:lncRNA novel transcript